rnacentral:rRNA from 1 species
UACGUAGGGGGCAAGCGUUGUCCGGAAUCAUUGGGCGUAAAGAGCGUGUAGGCGGCUUUACAGGUCCGUUGUGAAAACUCGAGGCUCAACCUCGAGACGCCGGUGGAAACCGUAAGGCUAGAGUCCGGAAGAGGAGAGUGGAAUUCCUGGUGUAGCGGUGAAAUGCGCAGAUAUCAGGAGGAACACCCGUGGCGAAGGCAGCUCGCUGGGACGGUACUGACGCUGAGACGCGAAAGCGUGGGGAGCGAACAGG